ACGGGGCUAAGCGAUCUGCCGAAGCUGUGGGAUGUCAAAAUGCAUCGGUAGGGGAGCGUUCCGCCUUAGAGGGAAGCAACCGCGAAAGCGGGGGUCGACGAAGCGGAAGCGAGAAUGUCGGC
rnacentral:ncRNA from 1 species